rnacentral:misc_RNA from 1 species
AAAUAUUUUGGGAUAUCACCAUGAAAAAGGGCUUGCUCCCAGCAAAAAAAUCUCAUUUUCCACAUCUUUCACCCAUUGACAAACCCUGUUGCAAGCCUUUAUUGCCAAAGCCUUGUCUGCAAGAGGAUCAAAUGCUGCAUAAAGUUCAAAAUCUGAAGUGACCCAACAGAAUAGAACAUAAUUCUCAUCUCUUCUAAACUGUGUUUUGUGGGGCCUAUUUCCCUGAUCAUGCAUGGAAGCAUAAACUUUCUGAUAAGCUCUAUAUAAUCUUUUCUGCUGUUGCGGACUAUUUAUUGGUGAAGAAAACUCAGAAGAUACAUAUUGAUCCAGAUAUAUACUGCGAUAUAUAAAAUGCCAAAGUCCAGCAGGACCGCCAAUUCCUAAAUAUGAUUCCCUGAAUCUUUCAGGCGAAUCCGUUGAUAGUUUAUGCUGACCUAAAUGAGGAGAAGCAGUUCCUGAACGAGGCAAUGAAUCACCAGGCAGAUCCUCAACAGGCAUCCCACCUUCUAGCAUGGAUCUUCGAACUUCGCUAAGAACAUUAGACUUUAAAAGAACUGUUUCAAUACGAAUCCUGCAAUCCUUAAGAUGGUAGAAGGCAUCUGAACUAGUAGUAAGCAGCACCAAGUAUGUGUCAACAUCAAGAUAAUGGACAUACGCAUACAAAAAUGCCACAGGAUUAUAUCUUGGGAGGCAAAUUGGUGAGAAAGAUUCAGAUGUCCUAAAUGAUUCUGAUGACAUAAUAAAGUUGGAAAGCAGCAGCAUGUCAUCAGGAUGGAGAGAAGCUUUUUGAGCACCGACUAGGCUAACAACUUUGUGUUUGCUCAUUAAUAUUGCAAAGAAGACUCCUGAAUCAGCAACAUCUUGCAAAAUCGCACCUGCAGCUUGCCUCGUUGCAUAAGCUAGAGGAAGACAAGUAUAUGCAUGAAGAAAUGUGGC